UUGGCACUAUCCCCUUGGUAAUUUCCUCAGGAUAGUGAGUUCUCACUAUGCUUGUUUAAAAGUGUGUGGCACCUCCCCCUUCACUCUCUUUGCUCCUGCUCUGGCAGUGUGACAGGUAAGCUUCUUCUUUGCCUUCUGCCAUGACUGGAAGCUUCCUGAGCCCUCCCCAAAAUCAGAAGCCUGCUAUGGUUCCUCUACAGCCUGCAGAGCUGUGAGCCAACUAAACCUCUUUUUUUUUUUUUUUUGAGAUGGAAUCUCACUCUGUCAUCAGGCUGGAAUGCAGUGGCACAAUCUCGGCUCACUGCAACCUCUACCUCCCAGGUUCAAGCGAUUCUCCUGCCUGAACUGGUUGUGAUUUUCCUGCUUCUUGGUUUGAUGAAUAAUUUUCAACUCUACCCUGGAUAUUUUGGAUACUAAUUUUGAGACUCUGGAUCCUCUGCAAUCUCCUUGUGUUUACCCAGUAGUCCCUGCUGAGAUGCAGCAUGAAAGCUUAUGAUUGUGAAUUCUGCUUCCCAUGGGUCCUGUCAACACCAUCUCAGCAAACAUGGAACCAGCAGGUGCUACCGGUGGGGCUGGUGGUUCAGCUUGAUUGAUGCUGGACCCCACUGAUACUACCUUGGUGGGAAAAUCGGGGUAUCACCUGCUUCUAUCAGAUAGGAGAUAGAUAGAAAUUAAUGAUUUUUGCUUCAGCUAUCAAAUCUUUGCUCAGCUUUGCUGACACCACUACACGGAGAAAUUGGAGCACUGGCACCUGCUUCCAUGGGACAGAGGUAUAGGGGGAAAGACCAGCUUCUUACUCAGUUUUGCUAAAACUGCUGGGGGCAGUUUUUCCAUUAACUUUUAGCUGGAGUGUGGUAGAAUUUGCCAAAAAGGUUUUUUUUGUUGUUAGGCCACAGUUUUCUCAGCACUUUAGUUAGGGAGGACAGGAUUUGGGGGGAA
rnacentral:lncRNA from 10 species